rnacentral:rRNA from 1 species
GACAGAGGGUGCAAACGUUUGUUCGGAUUUACUGGGCGUAAAGCGCGUGUAGGCGGCUUGGCAAGUCGGAUGUGAAAGCCCACGGCUCAACCGUGGAAGCGCAUCCGAAACUGCUUCGCUCGAGUCUCGGAGAGGAAGGUGGAAUGCUUGGUGUAGAGGUGAAAUUCGUAGAUAUCAAGCAGAACACCUGCGGCGAAGGCGGCCUUCUGGACGAUGACUGACGCUGAGACGCGAAAGCGUGGGGAGCAAACAGG